GGGUGGCCAGAGAGGCUUUGCAUCUCCAGACUCUGCUUCCACAGCUGUGGCCGAGGACUCAGGCCUCUGUGGGACAGGAAAUCCCCCUCUCUGACUAGCGCCUGGAUCUGCCCCCAGGAGUGGACAGCGUGGUGAGAGAGGAGGUGUACAAGCUGCAGGCCCGGGUUGAUGUAUUAGAACAGAAACUGCAGCUGGUGCUGGCCCCACUGCACAGCCUGGCCUCUCGGUCCCCGGAGCAUGGGCUGCAAGAUCCUGGCAGCCUGCUGGCCCACUCCUUCCAGCAGCUGGACCGGAUUGACUCACUGAGCGAGCAGGUCUCCUUCCUGGAGGAACAGCUGGGGU
rnacentral:lncRNA from 1 species